rnacentral:tRNA from 1 species
GUGGGGUUGUGGCUCAGUGAUAGAGCGCUGGCCUCACAUGUGCAAGGCCCUGGGUUCCAUCCUCAGCACCACA